GACGAACGCUGGCGGCGUGCCUAAUACAUGCAAGUCGAGCGCUGAAGGUUGGUACUUGUACCGACUGGAUGAGCAGCGAACGGGUGAGUAACGCGUGGGGAAUCUGCCUUUGAGCGGGGGACAACAUCUGGAAACGAAUGCUAAUACCGCAUAAAAACUUUAAACACAAGUUUCAAGUUUGAAAGAUGCAAUUGCAUCACUCAAAGAUGAUCCCGCGUUGUAUUAGCUAGUUGGGGAGGUAAAGGCCCACCAAGGCGAAGAUACAUAGCCGACCUGGGAGGGUGAUCGGCCACAAUGGGACUGGGACAAGGCCCAAGCCCCUAAGGGAGGCAGCAGUAGGGGAUUUUCGGCAAAGGACGGAAGUCUGGCCGAAGAACGCCGGGGGGGGGGAGAAGGUUUUCGGAUCGGAAAACUCUGUUGGUAGAGAAGAAAGUUGGUGAGAGUGAAAAGCUCAUGAAGUGACGGUACCUACACAGAAAGGGACGGCCAACUACGUG
rnacentral:rRNA from 1 species